UACAGGCAUGAGCCACCGUGCCCGCCGUAAAUAAAGUUUUAUUGGAACAGUGCCAUGCUUAUCAUGUCCAUUGCUUACAUAUUGUCUAUGGCUACUUUCAUUUUACCAUAGCAGAGUGGAAGAGGUAUGAAUAUGGUCUGCAAAGCAUAAAAUAUUUACCAUCUGGCCCUUUACAGAGAAAGUUGCCAAUCCCUGGACUCAAGCCUCUGUGGCUGAUUGGCAUGGUGGUCCCUUCUUUACCCCACUCUAUCCAUGUCUAGGGCUAUGUAACUUGCAGUGCCCGCCCAUAUUUUGCCUCCAGACACUGAACUCAGCCAUGUGACUUGUUCUGGCCAAUGGGAUCUUAGCAGACAUAACACAAGCAGAAGGUUGAAAAACACUAUGUGAUUGGGCCACUUUCUUUUAUACCUCGUAGUCUCCAUGAGAACAGCCUAGGCUUGCUUGCUGGGGGAUGAGAGACACAGGGAGCUGAGUCACUCCAGCUGAGGCCAGUCUAGAUCAACCAAAGGCCAGCUAACACCCAGACAAGUGGGUGGGCCCAUCCAAGGUGGAAAACAACCCAUCAACAGAACACCUAUUUACUGUCUACUGUGUGUGAAGCAUGGUGCUGAGUGUGGGGGAUGGUCUAAAGCCAAGACCUCCAGGGGCUUACAGUUCAGUCCGAAAGACAAGGUGUAAAUGCCUGCUGGAAACAUGCAGUGACCCCAGGUGGCAUGAGACAGACGGAGGCUUGACCACAGACAGAGGGGAAGGUGAUGUGAUGGAAGCAGAGACUGGAAGAUGCCACAUCGCUGGCUUUGAAGAUGGAGGAAGGGGCCAUGAGCCAAGGAAUGCAAGGAAUGAAGCUCUAGAGGCUGAAGAAGGCCAGGAAACGGAUACUGCUCUAGAGCCUCCGGAAGGAACUUUAGCCCAGUGAAACUGAAUUAAUCCUGAAUGCUAAGAGAAUAAUGUGUUGUUUUAAGCCAGUCUCUUGUGGUCAUUUGUUACAAUAGUCACAGGAAGCCACAGUUUCACACCGGGAUGUGGGGGUGGUGGGGGUGGGAUUUGGAAAAGGCAGUGCUCCUCCCGGGAAGUGCUGAGCUUACUUGGGCUGGAGUAGAUGAUGGGAGAGGGAGGAGCAGACAGUGGAGGAGGCAUGGAAGGGUGAGGUCAAGCCGUGACACUCCUGAAACCGUCGGCUUGAGAGAGGAAACUUGAUUUAAACAUGACUGAAAUGUGCCCAGUGGGUCCCCAAUUUAUAGAUGAGGCAGUGGCGUUCUGAGACGCAGGCCUGCCCAACGCCACACAGCAGGCCAGUGGUUGAGCCAAGACUAAUUGGUGUGACUCGAGGUCUGAGUCACUCCUAUUCCAGCGGCUGACAGAACAGUGAAGUGGCCUGAUGAAGAGCGUUGUUUUUUUUUUUAAAGAAAAAUAGCUGGGCUGCAUUCGAGAGGCUGGAGCUGGCAGGGUUUCUUUGCUGGAGCACUGCUGCUAUGUCGGGCCGUAUUGCUGGUAUUGCACUGCUGAUAUUGUCAAGUCUUUGCUGUUGGGGCUGUCUUAGGCAUUGUGGGAUGGUUAGUAGCAUUCCUGGUCUCUACCCACUGGAUGCCAGGGGCACCCCUACUCACCCCACCCCAGUUUUGACAACCAAAAAUGUCGCCAGACGAUCCUGGAUGUUGCCUGUGAUAAGCUCCCCUCCUCUGAGUGAGAGGCAGGGAGCUCCGCUAAGGGCCCGAGAGACGCCCAGGUAUUCAGUGCUGAUCCUCUAACUGAGGGUGGGAGAAGUGAGGAUGAGAGGGAAGAAAGGGAAAGCCUUUUAAAGGGGUAGAAUGGUGGCCUCGUCAUCAGACGGGAGAGAGACAGGUUGGGGUUGCGGUGGGGUGUGGCAGGGAGAGAGAAGGAGCCCCCAGGCUGUUUCAGACAUGCUGAAUUUGAGGCACUGGCAGGACUCUGGGGAGGGAGGGUCAGCAGAGAGCCGGACAUGCCAAUCGGUAAUGCCGGCCCAGCCCAGCCCAUCCAGGGUCCUUGUGUGAAUGAAGAAAGAGGCCCCCUUCCUCCUGGUGGCCAUGGCCCCUGGCCAGGGACCCCACCUACUGCCUUGGCUGGACUCCCUGCACCACUUUCCUGGCAGCCCCUCCUGCAGAGGCGUCCGUGUGGAAAACACAUAGGAGUGGCUGGGGAAGCCCGGAAGUGCAGAGUUUCUUCAUGAGAAAGGAGAUGGGGUGGACCAAGGGCUGACUGCACAGGAGAAAACACCCUCGUUAGGGAUAGGAGUUGGUGAAGGGGGCUGCUGGGAAUGAAUGGAAAAGAUCAGGAGGGAAGCAGAGCGCCUAAAGGGUUUCAAAAAAGAGAAUGAAGAGCGUUGGGCAGGUCAGAGACACAGUCCCCGAGAGGGUGGUGGCCUAGUCAGUGCUGCAGGGGGCCCGUGUCAGUUACUUGGCAGAAAGGCCAAGAAGCUGGCAAUGAAGACCGAGGGUGCAACACGCUUCUUAAAGAUCACAGGUGAAGACAGGAGUAAGAGCAAUUGAAAAGGAGCGAAAGAAGCGAUGGAUUCCAGAGAAGAAUGAUUUUUUUCAGGAUGGUACAGCCAUCUUGAAGUGCCCCUUUGAUGGCAAAGGGAAGGAACUAAGAGGAAAAGAAAGGCCGCUGACGCCAAAGAAAGAAGAAUUUGUGCACAAGGUCCCUGGGAAGGAGAGGAAAGGGGAGACAGGGCAGGGUACGUGCUGCAUGUAGGAGGAAGACCUAGUGGGGAUAAUGGAGGGAAGGAAUAAAAGGUGGGCCAAGAGAGAAAAAGGAAGUGAGGAGAACAUGUUCUUGUGUGGGGCAAUGCACCAUUCGGAGGAUUUCCAGCACAGAAGCGUGAGAACAGCAAUAUUAUAAUAAUAGCAGACCUGGUGCGUGCCAGUGCUAUGCCAAGAGUUUGAUACGUUUUUCUAAUCAUUAUAAACAACCUGGUAAGGAAGUAUGUUCAUAUUUAUAGGUGAAACGACAGAAGCUCCCCAAGGUUAAGCUACAGAGCUGGUAAGUGUUAGAAUCAGAAUUCAGACCUAGAUCUGUCAAUCUCUUUUCAAAGGGUUUGGAGGCUUGAGAGUACAGGGUUGGGUUGGUGCGUUGGAGAGGUGCAUUGCAAGGAUACCAAGAUGGCGGAGGAGGUGAGAUGGCCGGGCUGACAUUGGCUUGGCCCACUGGACCUGGUGAAUACAGGGAUUUGUGGAGGCUCUGUUGGGAUGAGUCUGGGAUUUUGCUCGGCUGCAACGUGUGACCCAGGAAUCAAAGGGGAAGGAUGAAAUCAUGGUUGGGAUCUGAGGAGGACUAAGGGGAGAGGUAGCUGAGGAUGCUGAAGGGGAGGCCAGUAUUUGAUCACAUUUCUAUUUCUAGAUUAGAUGACUAACUGUAAUCAUAAUGGGGAUUUUGCUCUUUGGGGGAAGGAACAAGUCUUUCUUAUACUUCUGUUUACAAAAGUUAUAAAUGUUGGUUAUAAAAACCCAAAUGUUACAGAAAUUCAUAAUGUGGGAAGUGUUUGCCACUGCGUCUUCAUGUUCUGCACAGUGGCUGGCACACAGGGGCCCUCAAUGAACAGUUGUUGAACAACUGAAUGGAAGUCAAGGUCCAGUGCAAUCCCACCCUGCUGGGAUAAUACUCCUAACAGUUUGAUGUCUUUUUCUCAAGGUUGUUCUUUUGCUCAGAUACUGACAUUUAAAAAAAAAAAAAGCACACCAAGCAUAUUGUAUUGCAACUUGCUUUCUUUUCAGUUAAAGACACAGUGUAUCUUGGAUAGUUGAGUGAUUUGCCAUGCAUGCAAGAAGAGUCUUUUAUUUGUAACAAAGUCUUGCAGAAAUAGACACAAACGACGGAGCUUGCAGAGAAAAAUGUAAAAAAUCCUUUCCUUCCCUUAUCAGAGGAACCCUGAGAAACCAGGCAGGAGGAGUAUUCAGCUGACUUUCAAGGUGCCGCCUAAACAUUCUUAUCCUCCCAGCUGAACCACACAGCAAAUCCUCCACCCUUCCGAACACACUGGACCCCAGCAGGCCUCACCUUGUGGGCUGCACGUGACAUCUCCCAACAACACCACAAGUCAUUUCCCUGACGUUUACCCCGCCUGGAUUCCCCUGGGGGAUUCGUUUCAGGAUUUCCAUCCUAGUUUGUGACGCGUGUUUUAUCUCUUAGGAGGAUGUUCUAAAAGGCAGGUAGCCUGGUGGUCAAGAGCAGGGAGUUUGAGGUUGGAGGGGCGUGGACUGAGUUGCAGCUUGGCCACUUGGCAGCCGGGACCCGAGGCCCACUGUCAGAUUCUAAGGAGGAGGCCUCUAGAAAGGGCUCUUGGCUUCAACCCAACUGAGGGCUUAGGGCUAAAGAAACCCCAUUUGCUGCUAAAUGGAGACAGGGCAGAGGCUCCAGAGGAUGUUACCUGGGUGCAAGUAAACCAGGCUAUGCGGUCCACAUGCCUACCUGCCUGGUGGCUACCCAUGUUUAGGUCAGAUGAAGUCAACCAGUAUUUGAGGCUGACGAUGACAGCAGCCCCCACCGAUUACGAGCUAACUGUGACCAGCACUGCCAUGCAUGUAUCCCAUCACUCAGUCCUCAUAUGCCGCUAGGAGACUGGAUGGCCAUUUCACGAGCAAGUAAAUGGAGGCGCAGCCACGUCACGUAACUGCCCACACAGCUAGUA